UGCACAAUGGGCGAAAGCCUGAUGCAGCAAUGCCGCGUGUGUGAAGAAGGCUGCGGGUUGUAAAGCACUUUCAGUAGGGAGGAAACAGUUGCGGGUUAAUAUCCCGCGACCUUGACGUUACCUACAGAAGAAGCACCGGCUAACUCUGUGCCAGCAGCCGCGGUAAUACAGAGGGUGCAAGCGUUAAUCGGAAUUACUGGGCGUAAAGCGCGCGUAGGCGGCUUGGUCAGUCGGAUGUGAAAGCCCCGGGYUUAACCUGGGAAUUGCAUUCGAUACUGCCAGGCUAGAAUGUAGUAGAGGGAAGUGGAAUUCCAGGUGUAGCGGUGAAAUGCGUAGAUAUCUGGAGGAACAUCAGUGGCGAAGGCGACUUCCUGGACUAACAUUGACGCUGAGGUGCGAAAGCGUGGGGWGCAAACAGGAUUAGAUACCCYGMGUAGUCCACGCCGUAAACGAUGYMASCUAGACGUU
rnacentral:rRNA from 1 species